rnacentral:rRNA from 1 species
AAGGCGACGAUCUAUAGCUGGUCUGAGAGGACGAUCAGCCACACUGGGACUGAGGACACGGCCCCAGACUCCUACGGGAGGCAGCAGUGGGGAAUAUUGGACAAUGGGCGCAAGCCUGAUCCAGCAAUACCGCGUGUGUGAAGAAGGCCUUAGGGUUGUAAAGCACUUUCAAUUGGGAGGAAAACCUGUCGGUCAAUACCCGGCAGCUUGACAUUACCUUUUAGAAGAAGCACCGGCUAACUCCGUGCCAGCAGCCGCGGUAAUACGGAGGGUGCAAGCGUUAAUCGGAAUUACUGGGCGUAAAGCGUGCGUAGGCGGUUCGUUAAGUCAGAUGUGAAAGCCCCGGGCUUAACCUGGGAACUGCAUUUGAAACUGGCGGACUUGAGUUGAGUAGAGGGGAGUGGAAUUUCAGGUGUAGCGGUGAAAUGCGUAGAUAUCUGAAGGAACACCAGUGGCGAAG